CCUGCCUACGGGGCGCAGCAGUGAGGAAUAUUGGUCAAUGGCUGAGAGGCUGAACCAGCCAAGUCGCGUGAGGGAAGAAUGUCCUAUGGAUUGUAAACCUCUUUUGUCAGGGAGCAAAGGGCGCCACGUGUGGCGCUUUGCGAGUACCUGAAGAAAAAGCAUCGGCUAACUCCGUGCCAGCAGCCGCGGUAAUACGGAGGAUGCGAGCGUUAUCCGGAUUUAUUGGGUUUAAAGGGUGCGCAGGCGGAAUGUCAAGUCAGCGGUAAAAUUUCGGGGCUCAACCUCGUCGUGCCGUUGAAACUGGC
rnacentral:rRNA from 1 species